CUGCAGAUCUAGAUCACAGCUGCUUUCCUUGUCUCCAUGCUAUCUUACAGGUGUCUCUUAGUAGUAAGGACUUAGCCAUGUGCUGGGGGGGAGGGGGUUUGAGAUCAGGGAGGCAGCAGGCCUGGGUAUUCAUGUAACAUUAGUACAAUCGUGCAAAUGAGCACCCUGAGCUACUUACUAUAAGUGAGUCGUACCUAGCUGCAAUGCCAGGUAAAGACUUGUGCACCAGUGCUCAGUGCAAGCUGUCGUUGUGGCAAUCAUGAGUUGUAAAACAUGUGAAUUUGUGACACUUCCCAUUGAGGUAAUUAAGUGUGAAAUUGCAUGUUCUGAUGUUUAGCGCAGGACCUGGCAAACACAAAAAGUGUUCAGUAAAAAUAUGAGCCGUUAUUACUAAUAUCGUGAAUAGUUCUGUGUUUACAGUAAAUUGUUCCUAAUUUAUAUUAAUGGAAAGAAAUGUGACUUAAUUAGAUACUACUAGUUAUUCAACCAUACAAAGCAAAUUUCUUAUUUUUCAUCUUGAAACGUCUGGAUCAGUUUAAUUGACAAGUGUUCUGAGACUAUGGAAUGGGGUGUUAGGAAACAAUUCUACAACUGCGUGAAUCAAUUUUUCUCUGUACAAGAUACAGAUAUAAACUGCAUGGGAAGGUUAUAAAGAACCAGUUACAGUAUCUAGUUCCCCACUUCAAGUCUGUCAUUGAAUAGUAGUUCUUGUUCAUGCUGAUUCUAAGUGUUCUAAAUUUCAAGUUAUCAAAAUACAUGUAUAUGAAUAAAAAUAUUUUAAAAAUUCUAUUGUCUUGUUUUUCUGACACAUAUACAAAAUUUAAGUGUAAUUAAGCUCUGUGUUCUCUUAGGAAGACUUCCCCAUGCUGCUAAGAAAAUCAGACUUCAAUGAUUUUAUCUUUAAACUUCAUGUCAUACUAUGCGAGUUUAAAUUGCAGAACCUUUUGGUAUUUUCAACUUUUGCAUGUUUUCUACAAGAAUGGAGUUGGUUCUAGAAGCCCAAGAUUCUGGAAUGAUGCUCGUUAUCAUGACUGACACCCUGGGAGAAGCAGCUAGCUCUUUUCCAACUGGACUUUGGGAGCCUUGGUUCUAGGGCUGCUCUGCAUUUCUUCUAAGAGGAACUCUUCCUGUCACUGUGCUGCCUUUUGAACCAAAGGCGUCACAUAUUUGUGCUUCUGAAUCAUAAGGACAUGGACCUUCAGGAAAGAUAGUCUACAGACUCAAAGGUUAAGUAUAUAUAUUUAAAUGCCUGGUCUAAAAAAAAAAAAAAACUUAAAUUGAAUAAAGAACCGUAUUUGUUAUUCUUUUUUGUUAAA
rnacentral:lncRNA from 1 species